AGUGAACGCUGGCGGUAGGCCUAACACAUGCAAGUCGAACGGCAGCACAGUAAGAGCUUGCUCUUACGGGUGGCGAGUGGCGGACGGGUGAGGAAUACAUCGGACUCUACUUUUUCGUGGGGGAUAACGUAGGGAAACUUACGCUAAUACCGCAUACGACCUACGGUUGAAAGCAUGGGAUCUUCGGACCUUGCGCGAUUGAAUGAGCCGAUGUCGGAUUAGCUAGUUGGCGGGGUAAAGGCCCACCAAGGCGACGAUCCGUAGCUGGUCUGAGAGGAUGAUCAGCCACACUGGAACUGAGACACGGUCCAGACUCCUACGGGAGGCAGCAGUGGGGAAUAUUGGACAAUGGGCGCAAGCCUGAUCCAGCCAUACCGCGUGGGUGAAGAAGGCCUUCGGGUUGUAAAGACCUUUUGUUGGGAAAGAAAAGCAGCAGGUUAAUACCCCGCUGUUCUGACGGUAACCAAAGAAUAAGCACCGGCUAACUUCGUG
rnacentral:rRNA from 1 species